rnacentral:misc_RNA from 1 species
AGCAGCCGCGGUAAUUCCAGCUCCAAUAGCGUAUAUUAAAGUUGCUGCAGUUAAAAGCUCGUAGUUGAAUUUCGGGAUCAAUAUGUUGGUCGUGCCUCGGUACGUACUAGCUUAUUGGUUUCUCCCUUCUGACGAACCAUGAUGUCAUUUAUUUGGUGUUAUGGGAAAUCAGGACUGUUACUUUGAAAAAUUAGAGUGUUUAAAGCAGGCUCACGCUUGAAUACAUUAGCAUGGAAUAAUGAAAUAGGACGUUUGAUUCUAUUUUGUUGGUUUCUAGGAUCGACGUAAUGAUUAAUAGGGAUAGUUGGGGGCAUUAGUAUUCAAUUGUCAGAGGUGAAAUUCUUGGAUUUAUUGAAGACUAACUACUGCGAAAGCAUUUGCCAAGGAUGUUUUCAUUAAUCAAGAACGAAAGUUAGGGAUCGAAGACGAUCAGAUACCGUCGUAGUCCUAACCAUAAACUAUGCCGACUAGGGAUCGGAUGAU